AUACGCUCAUGUCUCCUUCCUCCAUCGAAGCAAAACCACUGAGAUCAUCCACUCCACCCUACAUCCCACCUGGGACCAGACCAUUAUAUUUGAUGAGGUUGAAAUCUUUGGGGAGCCCCAAACAGUUCUUCAGAACCCACCCAAAGUUAUCAUAGAACUUUUUGAUAACGACCAAGUGGUAGGUAAUCUGGAAGUUUAAGGUGACUUGGGGACAUGAUAGUAGUGUGCAGAGCUGUGUGAUCAGGAAUGUGAGUGUGGUCUCCUUCUCUAGGGCAAAGAUGAAUUUUUAGGUCGAAGCAUUUGCUCUCCACUGGUGAAACUGACAUCACACCGAAGCUUCUCUGGCAUCCCAUUAUGAAUGGAGACAAGGCCUGUGGAAACAUCCUGGUCACGGCAGAGCUGAUUCUGAGGAACAAGUUCACAGGAUGGCUCCAACCUUCCCAUCCUCCCCUCUCAGAGAGCACCAAACUUGUACAUGGUCCCUCAGGGGAUCAGACCUGUGGUUCAGCUCACUGCCAUUGAGAUCCUAGCUUGGGGCUUAAGAAAUAUGAAAAACUACCAGAUGGCAUCCAUCACAUCACCCAGUCUCGUGGUGGAGUAUGGAGGAGAGAGAGUAGAAUCGGUGGUGAUCAAAUGCCUGAAGAACACACCCAACUUCCCAAGCUCUGUUCUCUUCAUGAAAGUGGUACAGUAUCUAGACUGUACACGAGCCCACGUGGAAAACCCACGUGUAAGGGUGGAAAAACCCAGCCUUACAGUAAA